rnacentral:rRNA from 1 species
GACGAACGCUGGCGGCGUGCCUAACACAUGCAAGUCGAACGAAGCACUGUAAACGGAGAUUCGUCAAAGUUUGCUUUGACUUAGUGGCGGACGGGUGAGUAAUGUAUGAGCAACCUGCCUUUCAGUGGGGGACAACAGUUGGAAACGACUGCUAAUACCGCAUGAUGUCAAUUGGGGGCAUCCCCGAAUGACCAAAGGAUUUAUUCGCUGAAAGAUGGGCUCAUAUCUGAUUAGCUAGUUGGUGAGGUAACGGCUCACCAAGGCUGCGAUCAGUAGCCGGACUGAGAGGUUGAACGGCCACAUUGGGACUGAGACACGGCCCAGACUCCUACGGGAGGCAGCAGUGGGGAAUAUUGCACAAAUGGGGGGAAACCCUGAUGCAGCGACGCCGCGUGAGUGAAGAAGUAUUCGGUAUGUAAAAGCUCUAUCAGCAGGAAGAAAAUGACGGUACCUGACUAAGAAGCCCCGGCUAACUACGUGCCAGCAG